CAGUGAAUAGUUUAUUUAAAAUAUUAAUUUUGGGGAUUAAUGAUAAGCUAAUGCUUUUUACUGA
rnacentral:tRNA from 1 species